ACACUCACUUCAGCAACAUACAUACUAGGGUUGGAACAACACAGAGAUUAGAAUGGCCCCUGUUCAAGGUGGCACACAAGUUUGUGAAGCAUUCCACAUCAUA
ensembl:snRNA Gm25643 predicted gene, 25643